rnacentral:snoRNA from 1 species
UUUGGGAAGUGCUGCCAAAAGACUCAAACAGAGGCGCCAGCUCUGCAGAAUCGAUUAUUUAUUUGCACGUCAGUCUGAUCCCAAA